AGACCAAAUACUGCCGGAAAGUGCGACGCCACAUUCCAAGGAGCGGAAGUAGAUUUCCCGGAAAGCCGUAAAGCGCCUCCCUCUUCCGGUUAACAACAGCCGUACCGACCGUCCACGCCGGCAGUUCUCCGCCUGGUUCACUUGGUCCUAUUGGAUGGUGGUGUAAUCCUACUGAACAACUCAGAAUGGACAGCCUGUAUACAAACGGGGAAGUGGAUGGAGAUAAAGAGUUCUAUGAACGUCUUGGAAUUUCACACAAAAUCUGGAGUAUGGAUUUUGACGGAACACUGCCGAGUCUGUCUCCAGGAAUUGCCUAUGGCCAAAUAAAGCAGCCCUGUGUCCACGGGGGACAUCUCUGAAGGGUCAUGGAGAUGACCCCAGGUUCAGAGGUCCUAUACAUUAGUAUUUCUGCUGUUUGAUUAAUUCUGGUAUUUAUGCUGCACUUGUAUUUCUAUUGUUUGAUAAAAAAUUCUGUAUUUAUGAAUUUAUGUUGCUUGAUUCUUUCUGUAUCAAUGAAUAAUCAUAAUGAAAAUCAAUCUGGAAGAAACUUUUAACCUCUAGAGUCUUAUGGGCACAGAAAUUUUUGCCCACAUUUUUAUCAGAGUGAAAAAAUAUGAUGAUCAACAAAGCAUUUUUCAGGAAUAAAAACAUUUACACUAACAAAACUCAAAGGGAGAAAUGGAGUGAAAUUUACAUUCAAGAAAGAAAAGUCAUGUAAAAUAGCCAACUGUUACUUGAGCUUGUUCAUGUGUACCUUUCCAUGGCUGAUCCAAGAUAUAAAAUCAUUACAAUUUUUAGAUUUCAUUAGGUAAAUUUACAAACAUGUAUCUAAAUUCUAGUUGACUUAUUUUUAAAACUCCAAUAUUUGUUGAUCUGGAAAUUAUACUCUUUACAACUAUAUCAACUUAUGACAAAAGUUUUUAGUGGCCACCUAACAUUGUGUGAAAGGAUACAUAGUUUUUCAAAAUUCUUCUGGGUGUUAAGUAGGCAAAAAUUUCCACUAAACUAGAUGACCCUAAACUAAGUUUAUUUGACUAUAAAUUCGGUGAUGCUUUCUUAUGUUGUUUUCUAGAGAUAGUCAAUCUAAUCAAGUCUUUUGUGGUGAUCACCCAUCCAUGGUGAAAAAAGAAUUAUUAGCAAUGGAAGAGAAAACAUCACCAGAAAAACAAAAGCAGGAGAUAAUUUGGGCUGGCAUAAGCUUGGAAAGAAGUAUAGUAAACUAAAAAAAGAAAGGUGGGGAUUACAAAUGUCCUUCUCUGCUCACAAACCACAUGUCCUCAUCGGGACAGGUGAUGCCCACAUCUCAAGCUUUAGACUCACAUCUCCUUGCUGUUGGUCUCACUGAAGGAAAAGGAGACAGAAGGAUUUCUGCUUUCCUCCGCCGCCCUCUGAUAACUGCCGUGAAUGACUGGGAUAUGCUUUCCAGGAGUGGGAAGCUCUCAGUCCAGUGGAUAAAUCCUCAAGAGCCUGCAUAGUGUAACCCUCAGGUAUCCAAGCAUUCAUGUGAUGCUCAUGGAAACAGACAAGCUGGCUUCCAGGGUCCUCAUAACUGACCUGCUUAGAAAAACAUACCUUAGCUGUAGGCAAAACAUGAGGUUGCUUCAGGAAUCUUACUGCCCUUCUUAAUAUUCAAGCUUGUACAUUUGUGGUACUAAUCUGUUCUCCUUAAUUACACUGAAAUUAUUAUCAGAAUAAAAAUCCAUGA